AGGACCUGAGUUCAAAUCCCCAGGAUUAUGUGUGGCUACAGGGAUGCCUGUAAUCCAGACAGGUGAAUCAUUGGGCCUUGCUGGUCACUAACCUAGAUCCAGAUUCAAUGGGAAACUCUGUCUCAAGAGAAUAAGGACAUCUGGCCUCCACACAGGGCUGCAUGCACCUGAAUUCACAUUUGUCCAAACAUUGCACAUACACAAAACCUCUAGAGUAUUAAAAACAUUUUAAUGGAUUAGUGUAUUUCAAAGAUUUCUUAAGAACCCAAAGCAAAUUAUAGUAUUCUAUAGAUAAAAUGCAACUAUUCAUAUUACUACUAAAAGUUUAUGGGCCUACUAUUGUCUCUAAAGAUUAAAAGGCAAAAUAAAAUGAAACAAAAGCAACCAAGCAAGCAACACACUCUGCAAAAGAAGUCACUGUCCUUGGGCAAACAGAGAGGUUGUAAAAAUUUUAGUUAUAAAGGUGUGUAAGCUAUGUUUACUAUUUCUAUGAAGCUAAGUAAAUGACUCUGUGUGAUGAAGUUAAUACAUGGGUAUUCUCUUCCCAGUAAAGUCAUUUUUAUGUGCACUGUUUCUUCAAGUCUAUUUUGUAGUGCAAUUUCCCUGAUGAAUCCAAGUCCUUGCAGCAACCCUUCUUCCUCUUUUCUCUCAACUAUUGUACUCAACUAUCGUCCACUCCCCUUAUGUGGAAAAGAAAGUUAUUUCUUUUCAAGAAAGAGUCUAUAUUCUUUUCAGACAAACCAUCUAAAAAGAACUAUGAAGUCACACAGGUAAUGGGUUUCAAUAAAUAAUUCCCAAGAUGACAGAACAUUUAGAAACUUGAUAAAUGGGGCCUCUCUUACUUAAUAGUCCAAAUCUGCAAGGUCCUUUUCCUAAUUCCAAGGGGAAGCUGGUGACAGAAAAAGGGAAGAGGUAAAAAAGGAGCAGGAAGCUUUAUUAUUGAAAGUGUCUUGGUGGAGAGAGAAGCUAGUAAUUUAGAUAUGCCAGUGAUAAAGGGAGUCUGAUAAGGACAUGAGAGAGAGAGAACAGUCUGAGAAGAUGGGCCAUUGUACAAAUGACCUACUUAAAGCAAAGCACACAACUGAACAUGUUUAUCCCGUGCAUGUAUAAAAGAUCUUUUCCAGCAAUUCUUUCUCUGAUGAUCAGCACAGCACACUUGGAAAAUAUGGCAGAUGAGACUUCUUUAUAAAUGCAAAACUCAACAGGAUCAAGAACUGAAGAGCAAUCUUGUAAACACUGACAGCUUUCAGCAACCUGCAGCAAACAGGUGACAACUGUUUGCCAACAAUUAAAUUGCUAUUUAAAAAUUUAGAUUGAUUAACAAAGCAUGCUUUGUUGAUGUGUCCAAUACCUUAAGAAGUACAGUACUUUUACAAUAUAUUUGCCUUGGGUAUAAAAUAAGAAAUGUAUCAUAGGACUCAGGAGAUGGCUCAGUUAAGGCACCUGCCACAUAACCAUAAGACCUAAAUUCAGACCCCUGGCACCUACAUAAAAUCCCAGGUAUAUCAGUAUGCACCUGUAAUCCCAGUGCUGAGGAGGCACAAACAGUAUGAUACCCCGGAACUCCUUGGCCAGCUAGCCUAGCUAAAUCAGUGAGCCUCAACUUCACUAAAAGACCCUAUCUCAAAAAAUAAAGUGAAGAGUAGCUGAGGAAGACACCUGGAGUCAGCCUCUCACACCCACAAGUAUGUGUACACAUAGAACUUUUGCACACCAGUUUCCUGGGAGAUGAAACAUUCUAUGUUGGAAGGGAGCUUAUUAAGACACUCAAUAUUCCAAGAGGUAAUAAAACAUUCCAUCCUUUAGGGAAGCUCCUUAAGCUCAGAAACAACUCAAAAGCUUCAGGAAGUCCCAGAAACUGACCAGAUUUACUAGGACCUUUCUAUUCCAAGAGAAUAGAAUCAAUAAGGACUGUUGAGAGACACAGGAAGACCAAACCAGAUCCACAGAAGACUCUCAGACAAGCUGAAUUGCCUAAGAGAGUUUCAGACUAUCAGGGCUGCCUGGAAAGGACAUGCUUCAACCUGUCUAGCUGCAUGCAGGCUGUGCAGGAGGCUCUGUAUCCAGCUUUCAUGAGCUGCCACCCAUGCUGAGUGCAAAAAGCAGUGCCAGUAUCCAAGUGCGAUCCCUCCACCUCUCUGUGAAACAAUGCACCAAGAUGAAACAUCUGCAAAUCAAUCAGGCUGAAAUACCAGAAGACCUAAAUGUUUACCUCCCUUCUGUCUGACAUCUGGCCAGAUGACACCCUUGCAACGUGACCCCCUUUUCUGUAUAAACCUCUGCUAAUGACUUGGGAUGUUGGAACCAUGCCCAUUCUAUGGUUGUGGUGAGUAAAUGCUCUUAUGUAAAGUACUUUGUAGAAGCCUAAUAUGUCCAGAAAGACCUGGAUUUUGCAAGACAUCAGAGUAAAGAGUUGGCUUUGUGUGCACA